CAGGACAUUAGAGGAGGUUCUGUUACAGGAGGUUCUGUUACAGGAGGUUCUGUUACAGGAGGUUCUGUUACAGGAGGUUCUGUUACAGGAGGUUCUGUUACCAGGAGGUUCUGUUACAGGAGGUUCUGUUACAGGAGGUUCUGUUACCAGGAGGUUCUGUUACUGGAGGUUCUGUUAAAAGGAGGUUCUGUUACAGGAGGUACUGUUACAGGAGGUUCUGUUACAGGAGGUUCUGUUAAAAGGAGGUUCUGUUACAGGAGGUUCUGUUACCAGGAGGUUCUGUUAAAAGGAGGUUCUGUUACAGGAGGUUCUGUUACCAGGAGGUUCUGUUACCAGGAGGUUCUGUUACAGGAGGUUCUGUUACCAGGAGGUUCUGUUACAGGAGGUUCUGUUACAGGAGGUUCUGUUAGAGGAGGUUCUGUUACAGGAGGUUCUGUUACAGGAGGUUCUGUUACCAGGAGGUUCUGUUAAAAGGAGGUUCUGUUACAGGAGGUUCUGUUACCAGGAGGUUCUGUUACCAGGAGGUUCUGUUACCAGGAGGUUCUGUUACAGGAGGUACUGUUACAGGAGGUUCUGUUACCAGGAGGUUCUGUUACCAGGAGGUUCUGUUACCAGGAGGUUCUGUUGAGGAGGUUCUGUUACCAGGAGGUACUGUUACCAGGAGGUACUGUUACAGGAAGUU